UGGGGAAUAUUGGACAAUGGGGGCAACCCUGAUCCAGCCAUGCCGCGUGGGUGAAGAAGGCCUUCGGGUUGUAAAGCCCUUUUGGCGGGGAGGAAGAGUGCGAGGUGAAUAAUCUUGCGCUUUGACGUUACCCGCAGAAUAAGCACCGGCAAACUCCGUGCCAGCAGCCGCGGUAAUACGGAGGGUGCGAGCGUUAAUCGGAAUUACUGGGCGUAAAGCGCAUGCAGGCGGUUUGUUAAGUCAGAUGUGAAAGCCCCGGGCUUAACCUGGGAACUGCAUUUGAAACUGGCAGACUGGAGUCCUGGAGAGGGGGGUAGAAUUUCCGGUGUAGCGGUGAAAUGCGUAGAUAUCGGAAGGAAUACCAGUGGCGAAGGCGGCCCCCUGG
rnacentral:rRNA from 1 species